rnacentral:rRNA from 1 species
AUCCAAACUAACUCACUAGAGUACGAUAGAGGGAGGUAGAAUUCAUAGUGUAGCGGUGGAAUGCGUAGAUAUUAUGAAGAAUACCAGUGGCGAAGGCGGCCUCCUGGAUCUGUACUGACACUAAGGUGCGAAAGCGUGGGUAGCGAACAGGAUUAGAUACCCUGGUAGUCCACGCCGUAAACGAUGACAACUAGCUGUUGGGAGACAAUGUCUUUCAGUGGCGCAGCUAACGUUUUAAGUUGUCCGCCUGGGGAGUACGGCCGCAAGGCUAAAACUCAAAUGAAUUGACGGGGACCCGCACAAGCGGUGGAGCAUGUGGUUUAAUUCGAUGCAACGCGAAAAACCUUACCUACUCUUGACAUACUUGGAAGCUCUUGUAAUGAGAGUGUGCCUUUUGGAGCCAAGAUACAGGUGCUGCAUGGCUGUCGUCAGCUCGUGUCGUGAGAUGUUCCGUUAAGUCGGAUAACGAGCGCAACCCUUACCCUUAUUUGCCAGCGAUUCGGUCGGGAACUAUAAGGGGACUGCCGGUGAUAAACCGGAGGAAGGUGAGGACGACGUCAAGUCAUCAUGGCCCUUACGAGUAGGGCUACACACGUGCUACAAUGGGGAAUACAGACGGACGCUAAGCCGCGAGGUGGUGCUAAUCCUAUAAAGUUCUUCGUAGUCCGGAUUGGAGUCUGCAACUCGACUCCAUGAAGUCGGAAUCGCUAGUAAUCGCGAAUCAGCAUGUCGCGGUGAAUACGUUCUCGGGUCUUGUACACACCGCCCGUCACACCAUGGAAGUGGAUUGCACCAGAAGUAGAUAGUCUAACCUUCGGGAGGGCGUUUACCACGGUGUGCUUCAUGACUGGGGUGAAGUCGUAACAAGGUAGCCGUAGGGGAACCUGUGGCUG